UGAUAGAGGAGCGGUUUCAAAGAGUAGCUGCCUGUUUUCAGGAAAUGACGGGCAUCAAAAGGGGAAACCGCCGAGGGGCCUAAGUCCUGCCUGAGGAUGAAGGCGUCCGGGCUGUAGGACAAUAUCCUGCAGACUGUCGCAGAAAUGCGGAGAGCUAUCG
rnacentral:ncRNA from 1 species